rnacentral:rRNA from 1 species
UUAGAUACCCCACUAUAUAGAGUAUAAAUUAUUGAGCCUAAGCACUAAGACUUUAAAGUUAAAACUUAAAUUACAUGGGCGGCAGUUGAAAAUUUCAGGGGAACUUGCCAAGUAAAUGAUAAUCCUCAAAAAAUUCUACUUUUAUUUGAAGUUUGUAUAUCGCCGUCUUCAGCAUUCAUUUAUGAUGAAUUCGAAAUGUUAAUAACAAAAAGACAGGUAAAGAUGCAGCCUAUAUAAAAGUUCAGGUGAGUUACAAUAUUAUAUUAAUUUGGAAUCAUUUCGAAACAAAAUGGAUAAAACUGGA